AUGAGCAGGCCAGCCCCUCCACAAAAAAAGAAUCAUCCAGCCCGAAACGUCAAACAUGCCCAACUUAAGAAACCCUGGCUUCGAGCAGGAUGUGGACACAGUAGAAGGGAACUGAAGUCUACCCGAUCUGAAGAUGGAGGAGGACUUACCAGUGAAGGGGAUCCUCGAGGUACUCGGGAAAGAGGAGUACACAUGAUGAGGAGAUUCUUGUCCUGUCAUUUUAUUGACAGACGCGCUAUUACAGGCUCUUUUCCCAGAAGUUGACCGAAGAAACCCAAGCGCUGCUAUUUCUUCCCUCCCAAGUCCGGUGGCUCCCCUGCUAAUGGACUGCUUUUCUCUGAGGUAUGUGUGUGUCCUUUGGGGACAGAUCUUCAUUUGCAAGUUAGCUUAUGUCGCAGCUUUUUUUGGGGGGGGGAUUUAUUUUGCUUUCCAACAUCAUCUCAAAUAUCCUUUCUCUGGCCUAAUAAUGAUACUAGGGUAUCACUGGACAGCAAUGAUUAAUUUUGGUGACUAAAAAUUACGUGCAAACAGGCAGUUCUAAUAUUUAGCUUUGUUGCACAGGGAGUAAUAUGUUGAUUUGGGCUUGAAUUUGCUUUCAGUGGAUGCUUAAUAUGUUCCAAGUAUUAAUUUCCUUAUAACAGCCUCAAGAACCUUCUUCUAAAUUUCUUCAGUGACUGCAAUUGCUCAAUUCUUUAGCUGUUCCAUCGCUUCUCAGGGACGAAAGAGAAUGACGUAACAUGUCUGAACAGCAGACAAGAGCAUUCACUGAUUUCUCCUAGGCAGCCUUUCAACCAGACGCUUUUGACCAAGAGUUUCAGAUUUUGUCCUAAAGUGUUCUGGUUCAAAAUAUCCAGAAAGGUACAUCGCAGCAAGGGCAUGGGAAAAUAAAGUCUAAAACUUUGCUGAAUAUCUUGCAUGCUUAUUUUUUUAAUACAUGUCAUGGUCCGCAUAGGAUUGAAAGCCCUUGUUGAGUUCCAUGGAAAAUUUUGAAUUCACAGCUCAUUACUCUAAUAGUUAAUCUUAUCUUUAAUGUAAGAAAGUACAAAAUUAUAUCCUACAAAAUUAAAUUGUUUUUCCCCUUACUUUUCCUCUUUCAAGUGGAUUGGAAAGUAUUGCCCCAUUUCAGAUCACAAAUUCUGGUCUUAUUGCUGCUCAAUUUUUGCUGACCUGCACCCCCACCGCAGUCCCAGGACACAUGUUGCACUGUUAAGUAGUAACAACAAUAAAGACCUGCUGACGGUCAUCUGCUAUAGAAGAACAUCAUUCGUACACUGGCUGCUGGGCUUGACACUGAUCUCGUAGGCAGUGAAUGGGUGAUAAUUUGGAAUGCAUGUUAUGCCUGAAAACAUUGGCAGAGUCUAAAUUGCGAUGAGUUUUGGAACGGUCCAUGCAAAGGAUUGUUUAUAGUGUAUUCUGCCCAUGAGGGAGGCUGUCUUUUGGAUUAGGACUGAGACUUUUCCGUGCAGUUAGAGGAAUGAGAAGCAAUAGACAGAGCGGAAAGCCUUGUAAAAAACAUUUGUAGAUCGUCAGGGUAUAUUAAACACUGUAAAGUGCUUCCUGCUUUUUAUAUCUUCCCUUUUUUUUUAUGGCUAUCGCUUUAUCUUGCUUUUUGCAAAGAGAAUGCAAACAAUCAGGGGAAAAAAUAUGAAAGUUGAUUUUCACAUGCAUCAGUGCCUCCUAGAAAAGAACCCAGAGAUGUUUCCCCAGCUCUUUACUUCUACUUACAGGGCUCACUCUGAUACAUUUACCUGAUAUGUUCUGUCUCCUCCACAGCUUCCACCCUGGAGAGAGCCCCCAGGUCUAGUCUGUGAACCCAGCU
ensembl:lncRNA